UACGUAGGCAGCGAGCGUUGUUCGGAGUUACUGGGCGUAAAGAGUGCGUAGGUGGCUCUCUAAGUUUGGUGUGAAAUCUCCCGGCUCAACUGGGAGGGUGCGCCGAAAACUGGAGGACUAGAGUGUGGGAGAGGAAAGCGGAAUUCCUGGUGUAGCGGUGAAAUGCGUAGAUAUCAGGAGGAACACCUGCGGUGUAGACGGCUUUCUGGACCACUACUGACACUGAGGAGCGAAAGCGUGGGUAGCGAACAGG
rnacentral:rRNA from 1 species